GUCCGGAGACGCCGCCUUCUCCCCGCGCCUCUUCUUCCAGCGCUGCCACAGGCAAACAAAAACUGGACUUACCCACUGAGUGCAAAACACACAACAAAGACUGAAGGCACUUCAAACACUGGUGACCCAAGGAUCAGGCGUAAAAAUUCAGAUGCAUCCUCAUGAAAAUUAUGGCAACAGCAAGUAAGAAGAUAAUGAUCCUGAGAAUCAACAUCCAAGACCAGUGGUCAGUCCAGCAGGAAAGAGAUAAAGGUGGCAUGGGACAAGUGCCACCCUCGCCUCUGGGGACCAUCACCCAGACACCAAGCAGGCACUCAAAGAAUGAGUUUGGAUUUCAUUCUGCAAGCAAGGAGGAGGAAGGCCUGCACUUAGUCAUCAAGUCGCAGCUCCAGGCCCCUGAUGCAAGCCCUGGGGAGCACAGAAACACCAGAGCCUAAACUACAAGCAUCCUCUGGUAUUCUUAUGUUUUGAAUGUUCCUGGGGCAGGGAGAACAGUGAGUGUUCCUUUGGUGCCCAUUUAUUAAUGUCUUUGUUUUUUUUAAUAUAAAGUCUUUAGAUUAUUUUUAUUUAGUAUUUUGCUACAUUUGCUUCAAAAAAAAUUCUACAAACAUUUAAUGUGCAAUAUUAUUGGAAGGCUGUUUAGAAAGAUUAAAUCAUUUAGAUUAAUUUAAGUUGUAUACAUCCUAACAUCUACAACCUCCUGAAAUUGCAUUACCUUCUAAGAAAAAAGGGGGAGGUGCUAUAUGCUUUUAAACAACCAGAUCUCCUGAGAAGUCUAUCAUAAGAACAGCAUUUCUUCAUUUAGUUGAGCUGUGGAAGGCUGCCAGCUAUGGAGCUCCACAUUCUGGGGGUGGGGAAAGAAAGAAAAUCAAAAAGCAAUUUCCUCCAUGGAUUUUUUUCCAGCUUUAUUGAAAUAUGAUGGACAAAUAAAAAUUACAUUAUUUAAGGUGCAGUUUUAAUACAUGUAUGCAUUUUGAAAUGAUUACCACCAUCAAGCUAAUUAACACAUCCAUCAUCUCACAUAGUUACCCUUUUUUUUCAGUGGGAAGGGAGGUGUAGAUGUGACAUCACUUAAAAUCUGCUGUCCCCAGACACUGAAUCUUAAAAUCUACUCAUCAUCAACUCAUGUAGGUAAACCUAAUAUGUAGAUUCCCAUUCAUUUGGGCUGCUGUAACAAAAUACUAUGAGCUGGGCGACUAAGAAACAGCAGAAAUUGAUUACUUAUGGUUCUGGAGGCUGGGAAGUCCGAGACCAAGGUGCCAGCAGAUUCAGUGUCUCAGCAAACUUCAAGCGUACACUAUAUUAUUGUUAACUGUAGUCACCUUGCUGCACAGUGGGUCUCCAGAACUGAUUCAUCUUAUAACUGAAAAUUUGCACCUUUUGGCCAAGCACCUCUUAUUUUCCCACACCCAGCUUCUGAUAACCACCAUGCUAUUCCCUGUUUUUAGGAGUUCUACUUUUUAAGAUUUCACAUAUAAGGAAUAUCUUAUAUCAUAUCUGAAUUUGGUAGAAAGUGUUGCUGAAAAUUUUAAAGGCUCAUGAUUCAGUCUUUUGUUGUUGUUGUGUUUAAAUUUUCAAAGAAGCCAGAUACAAAGGGCCAUAAAUUAUGUUAUUUCACUUACAUGAAAUGUUAGACUAGGCAAAGCCACAGAGAGGAGUGACUACUCAUGGGUACGGAGUUUCUUUUGGGGUGAUGGAAAAAUUCUGAAACUAGGUAAUGGUGAUGAUUGCACAACAUUUUGAAUGUACUAAAUGCCACUGAAUUGUACUGUUUAAAACUGCUAAAAUGGUAAAAUUUAUGUUAUGCGUAUUUUACCAUAAUUAAAAAUAAAGUAAAAGAUUUAAU
rnacentral:lncRNA from 10 species